CCUACGGGAGGCAGCAGUGGGGAAUAUUGGACAAUGGGGGGAACCCUGAUCCAGCCAUGCCGCGUGUGUGAAGAAGGCCCUCGGGUUGUAAAGCACUUUCAGUGAGGAAGAACGCCUGGUGGUUAAUACCCAUCAGGAAAGACAUCACUCACAGAAGAAGCACCGGCUAACUCCGUGCCAGCAGCCGCGGUAAUACGGAGGGUGCGAGCGUUAAUCGGAAUUACUGGGCGUAAAGCGCGCGUAGGUGGCUUGAUAAGCCGGUUGUGAAAGCCCCGGGCUCAACCUGGGAACGGCAUCCGGAGGUGUGGAGCGGACGGGCUGGAGAGGAGGGGGGAAGGCCCGGUGAGGGGGUGAAGUGGGGAGGGGGACGGAGGGGGAGCAGUGGUGGAGGCGGCAUUCUGGAAUGCGACUGACACUGAGGUGCGUUUGUGUGGGUAGCAGCUGGGAUGAGAUACGCCAGUAACA
rnacentral:rRNA from 1 species